CUUUGUCAUUGUGAGUUAACUUGUCACUUGCCAUGGCUUCAAUGCAAUGCCAAAAACCCUUUAACCAAGUUUCUCAUGAUGCCCAAGCCAAAUGUGGGGAGCAAUCUACUACAACAAGAUCAAGGAGGUUUGGAAGGGAUGGACAGAACACAAGCAUGAAGAGCAUCACAGCCAAACCCAAACAUAUCAUGUUGGCAAACCCCAAGCCCAUGAGUCACAGGUUGGCUAUGCAUGAAAGCCUCCCACACUAAGCACCAUGGUCUUGGGGCUGGCCUUCUUAACUUUGUCAAGACGAAAAGGCUGAGCACAAUGGUGACAGCAGCAACAGUAGCAGCAGCGAGAGCAAGAGCGAGGACGAGGGUCACUGCAAAUAGAAGGAUUAAGAGGAAUUAAGGGAUUGAAGAAGCAUUACUCUACUAGAUGAUCUCUAGCAAAUAAUGGGAUAUUAGCAAUGAAAUUGCUCUAAUGAUGAAGCUUACCUUCUAAGAAUAAAUGUGACACCCUUCUAUUGUACUACUUAUGCUUUAAAUGAAUAAAACCAAUGAAAUAAAGUUGUGUA